rnacentral:tRNA from 1 species
GCCCUUGGUAGGCCUGAAACUGGCAGUAAACUUAAAAUCUGCCGGCCGCAAGGCCUUGCCGGUUCGAUUCCGGCUCGGGGCACCA